rnacentral:snoRNA from 1 species
AUGGAGGUGAUGAAUUUUUCCCCAGAUGAUUCGAAGCUGAAAUUACUGAGCGCAAUUUUUGUUUUUCUCCCUUUAUUGCGGAGAAAAUCCAAGCCAAAUUUCUGAUCCUU